rnacentral:lncRNA from 1 species
GGCAGCACCUCCUUGAUUCUCAGUUUUGCUGGAGGCCGCAACCAGGCCCGCGCCGCCACCAUGUUUCGAAAUCAGUAUGACAAUGAUGUCACUGUUUGGAGCCCCCAGGGCAGGAUUCAUCAAAUUGAAUAUGCAAUGGAAGCUGUUAAACAAGGUUCAGCCACAGUUGGUCUGAAAUCAAAAACUCAUGCAGUUUUGGUUGCAUUGAAAAGGGCGCAAUCAGAGCUUGCAGCUCAUCAGAAAAAAAUUCUCCAUGUUGACAACCAUAUUGGUAUCUCAAUUGCGGGGCUUACUGCUGAUGCUAGACUGUUAUGUAAUUUUAUGCGUCAGGAGUGUUUGGAUUCCAGAUUUGUAUUCGAUAGACCACUGCCUGUGUCUCGUCUUGUAUCUCUAAUUGGAAGCAGUAUCCUUUUUAUGUUAGCAUUUAUGGAUAUGAACUUUGAAGGGUUUUGAUACUUGUGUUAAUUAUUAGGAAUAUAAUAAUAAUAUGACAUAGGUAAGAUUGUGAAAACUUUAAAACAACAAAUUGGAUUGCUCUUUCAUUAGCCUUUAUAAGCAAUUUAUAUUUGCUAGACACAAAUAAGCCCAACUUCAGGAAAAUCAUCUAAGCAUCUUUUUAGAGGGGAUUUAAAGUUUCUUAAUGGUUCUAGAUGUCCCAAGAAAUCCUAGACCCCUUGUAUCCAAAACAAAUCAGGUUUUAGAUGGGAAGAAAUUAUUUUGCUGGCACUCUUUCUUAGGUUCGGUAGAAAGUCAAACAUUUUAUAUUAGGCCAAAGAAAUAGUGUCCUAUUGCAUUAUUUCUCUGGUGGAUUAUGCAACAAUUAAAGAAUAAGCCAGAGACCUUUGUUAAUAAUGUAUAAUUUGAAAAUAAAGACAGUACUUCAUUCCUUGUUAAAACAAGCUCGUUAACCAGUCUAAGAGACCCAGAUACCAACACAACGAUAUGGCCGGAGACCAUAUGGUGUUGGUCUCCUUAUUGCUGGUUAUGAUGUAAUUUAAAUGAACUAGUUAAACAUGGUCUGCGUGCCUUAAGAGAGACGCUUCCUGCAGAACAGGACCUGACUACAAAGCCUGCUCAACCUGCUGAUGAACCUGCAGAAAAGGCUGAUGAACCAAUGGAACAUUAAGUGAUAAGCCAGUCUAUAUAUGUAUUAUCAAAUAUGUAAGAAUACAGGCACCACAUACUGAUGACAAUAAUCUAUACUUUGAACCAAAAGUUGCAGAGUGGUGGAAUGCUAUGUUUUAGGAAUCAGUCCAGAUGUGAGUUUUUUCCAAGCAACCUCACUGAAACCUAUAUAAUGGAAUACAUUUUUCUUUGAAAGGGUCUGUAUAAUCAUUUUCUAGAAAGUAUGGGUAUCUAUACUAAUGUUUUUAUAUGAAGAACAUAGGUGUCUU